AUUGCGAGUAGGUCGGAACACGUGAAAUUCCUGCCGAAUAAGGGUGGACCACUGGUAAG
rnacentral:rRNA from 14 species